rnacentral:rRNA from 1 species
UACGAGGGAUCCUAGCGUUGUUCGGAAUCAUUGGGCGUAAAGGGUGUGUAGGCGGCCAUGUAAGUCAGUUGUGAAAGCCCCGGGCUCCAACCCGGGAAGUGCUUCUGAUACUGCUUGGCUUGAGUAUUGGAUUGAGGUGAGUGAAUUCCAGGUGUAGUGGUGAAAUACGUAGAUAUCUGGAGGAACACCGGGCGGCGAAGGCGGCAUCCUGGACCGGUAUUGACGCUGAGGCGCGAAAGCUAGGGGAGCAAACGGGG